CGAAUCUUUAUCUGUGGAGCACAAGACUAGAUGAGAACACAACCUAUAAAUAUACAUAUCAAUGUCCUGCUCAACUGACAAUAUACAGGAGUGUUACUGUGUUUAACACUCAAUGCAAAAAAAAUUAUAAAGCUUAUCUGAUCACUGAGUAGAGCUCAUAAUAUUAGCUCUAAUGUUAGCUAUGUUAGCUAAAAACAAGCUAACAAAAACGAUAGGAAAUGAAUGGGAAUGCCUUUAGUGCCUAUACCUGUGAGCCAAAGUUUAGAGAUAUCUGGGACAGCCGUGUCGGCUGGGUGGAGAUGACCUGGUGGAGGCGGGGGGGUGGUGGUGACGGUGUAAUGAGAGUGAUGAAGCAUGGACAUGACGGAGGAGGAGAGGGAUGAGGUCAAGAGGUCCAUCUUGCCCUCCUCCUGCUCCUCCUCCUCCUGCUCCUCCUCUUCCUCUUCCUCCUCCUCCUCCUCAGCCUGGGGCCCCUCAAACAGCUCCAGGGAGCCCCCCCAGCUGCCCUCCUCCCCGGGCCCUCCUGUGGGGCCGGCCAGGCCAUCCAGGGCUGGGAUGAAUGGAUGAAUGAUGAAUGGAUGAAGCAUAAAGACAGUGUAGAUGUCUGGGUGAGUGUUGUUGAGAAUGCAGGCGGGUAGGGGUUAAUGACCAUGGUUACACGGGGAACUGGUUUGAGGUUUGAACUGAUUGAACGGCCACAGGUGGAAGUUAGAGGCACAAAGGCUGAAGUGAAGUCAGAAGGGAAUGAGGAACACGAAGGCUGUAAACACUAGUGUGUACUUUUUAAAACAGGAUGAGUCCAUUGUGUUUCAGAGUAAGUUGUGACAGUGGCGCUAAUGCAAGGGUGUUUGCAAAUUAUGAACACCACUCAGCUACACACUUUGAACUCUGAUCCCCCGACCUCACACGGUGAGAGCCACGGGCGACCGGAAGGCUCCAGACAGUCAGAGAGUUAGCAACAGAUUAGCUUCAGGCGGUCAGAGAGUUAGCUCCAUGCGGUCAGAUAGUUAGCGACAGAUUAGCUCCAGGCGGUCAGAGAGUUAGCUCCAUGCGGUCAGAUAGUUAGCAACAUAUUAGCUCUAGGCGGUCAGAGAGCUAGCAUCAGGUGGUCAGAGAGUUAGCAUCAGGCGGUCAGUUAGCUUCAGGCGGUCAGAUAGCUAGCGACAGAUUAGCUACAGGCGGUCAGAGAGUUAGCUUCAGGCAGUCAGAGAGUUAGCUUCAGGCGGUCAGAGAGUUAGCUUCAGGUGGUCAGAGAGUUAGCUUCAGGUAGUCAGAGAGUUAGCUUCAGGCGGUCAGAGAGUUAGCUUCAGGCGGUCAGAGAGUUAGCUUCAGGCGGUCAGAGAGUUAGCUUCAGGCGGUCAGAGAGUUAGCUUCAGGCAGUCAGAGAGUUAGC
ensembl:lncRNA